CCAAUAGCGUAUAUUAAGGUUGUUGCAGUUAAAAAGCUCGUAGUUGAACUUCGGGGUCUACCCAUUGGUCAGGCUUAAUUGUCUGCACUGGUGAGAUGGAUCUCUACCUUCUGAGGAACUCUCAUGCCAUUUAUUUGGUGUGGUUGGAAAUCAGGACUGUUACUUUGAAAAAAUUAGAGUGUUUAAAGCAGACUAUCGUCUGAAUACAUUAGCAUGGAAUAAUGAAAUAGGACGGACUGAUUCUAUUUCGUUGGUUUCUAGGAUCACCGUAAUGAUUAAUAGGGAUAGUUGGGGGCAUUAGUAUUCAAUUGUCAGAGGUGAAAUUCUUGGAUUUAUUGAAGACUAACUACUGCGAAAGCAUUUGCCAAGGAUGUUUUCAUUAAUCAAGAACGAAAGUUAGGGGAUCGAUGACGAUCAGAUACCGUCGUAGUCUUAACCAUAAACUAUGCCGACUAGGGAUCGGAUGAUGUUAAUUUCUUAAUGACUCAUUCGGCGCCUUACG
rnacentral:rRNA from 1 species